GCCCGUUUAGCUCAGUGGUAGAGCGCGCCACUCGUAAGCUUAUGUAAUGUGAGCGGUGAUGGUGAGGUCAAUCGUUCAAUCCGGUUAAUGGGCA